rnacentral:rRNA from 1 species
GACAGAGGAGCCAAGCGUUGUCCGGAUUGACUGGGCGUAAAGCGCACGCAGGCGGCUGUGCACGUGGGGUGUGAAAGCUGGCGGCUUAACUGCCAGACGCCACCUCAUACGGCACGGGCUCGAGCCCGUGAGAGGUCCACGGAAUUGCCGGUGUAGUGGUGAAAUGCGUAGAGAUCGGCAGGAACACCCAGGGGGAAACCAGUGGACUGGCACGGUGCUGACGCUCAGGUGCGAAAGCGUGGGGAGCGAACCGG